AGAGGGGGCAAGCGUUAUUCGGAAUUAUUGGGCGUAAAGGGCGCGUAGGCGGCUUUGCAAGUGACGGGUGAAAUCCCACGGCUUAACCGUGGAACUGCCUGUCAGACUGCAUGGCUUGAGACCAGGAGAGGUGAGUGGAAUUCCCAGUGUAGCGGUGAAAUGCGUAGAUAUUGGGAGGAACACCAGUGGCGAAGGCGGCUCACUGGACUGGUACUGACGCUGAGGCGCGAAAGCGUGGGGAGCAAACAGGAUUAGAUACCCUGGUAGUCCACGCCGUAAACGAUGAGUGCUUGGUGUAGCGGGUAUCGACCCCUGCUGUGCCGAAGUCAACACAUUAAGCACUCCGCCUGGGGAGUACGGUCGCAAGACUG
rnacentral:rRNA from 1 species